GAAUAUUGGACAAUGGGCGAAAGCCUGAUCCAGCAAUGCCGCGUGUGUGAAGAAGGCCUGCGGGUUGUAAAGCACUUUCAGUAGAGAAGAAAAGCUCAACGAUAAUACCGUUGAGUCUUGACGUAACCUACCGAAGAAGCACCGGCCAACUCCGUGCCCGCAGCCGCGGUAAUACGGAGGGUGCGAGCGUUAAUCGGAAUUACUGGGCGUAAAGCGCGCGUAGGCGGUUUAGUAAGUCGGAUGUGAAAGCCCUGGGCUUAACCUGGGAACUGCAUUCGAAACUGCUUUACUCGAGUAUGGUAGAGGGAAGUGGAAUUUCCGGUGUAGCGGUGAAAUGCGUAGAUAUCGGAAGGAACACCAGUGGCGAAGGCGACUUCCUGGGCCAAUACUGACGCUGAGGCGCGAAAGCGUGGGGAGCAAACAGG
rnacentral:rRNA from 1 species